rnacentral:rRNA from 1 species
GGCGGCGUGCCUAACACAUGCAAGUCGUACGAGAAAGUUGGCUUCGGCCGAUGAGUAAAGUGGCGCACGGGUGAGUAAUGCGUGGAUAAUCUGCCCUUUAGUUGGGAAUAACGUACCGAAAGGUGCGCUAAUACCUGAUAAUACUGCAUAACUACUGUUGUGUAGUCAAAGAAGGCCUCUGUUUACAAGCUUUUGCUGAAGGAUGAGUCCGCGUACCAUUAGCUGGUUGGUGGGGUAAUGGCCUACCAAGGCUACGAUGGUUAGCUGGUCUGAGAGGAUGAUCAGCCACACUGGAACUGAGACACGGUCCAGACUCCUACGGGAGGCAGCAGUGAGGAAUAUUGCGCAAUGGGGGCAACCCUGACGCAGCAACGCCGCGUGAGUGAGGAAGGUUUUCGGACCGUAAAGCUCUGUCGAGCGGGAAGAAAUGUAUCGUGGCUAAUAUCCAUGAUAUUUGACGGUACCGCUAAAGGAAGCACCGGCUAACUCCGUG